rnacentral:rRNA from 1 species
GACGAACGCUGGCGGCGUGCCUAAUACAUGCAAGUUGAGCGCUGAAGGCUGGUACUUGUACCAACUGGAUGAGCAGCGCACGGGUGAGUAACGCGUGGGGAAUCUGCCUUUGAGCGGGGGACAACAUUUGGAAACGAAUGCUAAUACCGCAUAAAAACUUUAAACACAAGUUUUAAGUUUGAAAGAUGCAAUUGCAUCACUCAAAGAUGAUCCCGCGUUGUAUUAGCUAGUUGGUGAGGUAAAGGCUCACCAAGGCGAUGAUACAUAGCCGACCUGAGAGGGUGGUCGGCCACAUUGGGACUGAGACACGGCCCAAACUCCUACGGGAGGCAGCAGUAGGGAAUCUUCGGCAAGGGACGAAAGUCUGACCGAGCAACGCCGCGUGAGUGAAGAAGGUUGUCGGAUCGUAAAACUCGGUUGGUAGAGAAGAACGUUGGUGAGAGUGGAAAGCUCAUCAAGUGACGGUAACUACCCAGAAAGGGACGGCUAACUACGUG